rnacentral:rRNA from 1 species
GAUGAACGCUGGCGGCGUGCCUAAUACAUGCAAGUCGAGCGAACAGAUAAGGAGCUUGCUCCUUUGACGUUAGCGGCGGACGGGUGAGUAACACGUGGGUAACCUACCUAUAAGACUGGGAUAACUUCGGGAAACCGGAGCUAAUACCGGAUAAUAUUUCGAACCGCAUGGUUCGAUAGUGAAAGAUGGUUUUGCUAUCACUUAUAGAUGGACCCGCGCCGUAUUAGCUAGUUGGUAAGGUAACGGCUUACCAAGGCGACGAUACGUAGCCGACCUGAGAGGGUGAUCGGCCACACUGGAACUGAGACACGGUCCAGACUCCUACGGGAGGCAGCAGUAGGGAAUCUUCCGCAAUGGGCGAAAGCCUGACGGAGCAACGCCGCGUGAGUGAUGAAGGUCUUCGGAUCGUAAAACUCUGUUAUUAGGGAAGAACAUACGUAUAAGUAACUGUGCACGUCUUGACGGUACCUAAUCAGAAAGCCACGGCUAACUACGUG